CCUACGGGGUGCAGCAGUGGGGAAUAUUGGGCAAUGGGCGCAAGCCUGACCCAGCAACGCCGCGUGAAGGAAGAAGGCUUUCGGGUUGUAAACUUCUUUUGUCAGGGACGAAGCAAGUGACGGUACUUGACGAAUAAGCCACGGCUAACUACGUGCCAGCAGCCGCGGCAAUACGUAGGCGGCAAGCGUUAUUCGGAUUUACUGGGUGUAAAGGGCGUGUAGGCGGGACUGCAAGUCAGAUGUGAAAACCACGGGCUCAACCUGUGGCCUGCAUUUGAAACUGUAGUGCUUGAGUACUGGAGAGGCAGACGGAAUUCCUAGUGUAGCGGUGAAAUGCGUAGAUAUGAGGAAGAACACCAGUGGCGAAGGCGGUCUGCUGGACAGCAACUGACGCUGAGGCGCGAAAGCGUGGGGAGCAAACAGGAUUAGAUACCCUGGUAGUC
rnacentral:rRNA from 1 species